rnacentral:rRNA from 1 species
GGGUUGUGAGGUUAAGCGACUAAGCGUACACGGUGGAUGCCCUGGCAGUCAGAGGCGAUGAAGGACGUGCUAAUCUGCGAAAAGCGUCGGUAAGGUGAUAUGAACCGUUAUAACCGGCGAUGUCCGAAUGGGGAAACCCAGUGCAAUUCGUUGCACUAUCGUUAACUGAAUACAUAGGUUAACGAGGCGAACCGGGGGAACUGAAACAUCUAAGUACCCCGAGGAAAAAAUCAACCGAGAUUCCCCCAGUAGCGGCGAGCGAACGGGGAGCAGCCCAGAGUCUGAAUCAGCUUGUGUGUUAGUGGAACGGUCUGGAAAGUCCGACGGUACAGGGUGAUAGUCCCGUACACCAAAAUGCACAGGCUGUGAACUCGAAGAGUAGGGCGGGACACGUGGUAUCCUGUCUGAAUAUGGGGGGACCAUCCUCCAAGGCUAAAUACUCCUGACUGACCGAUAGUGAACCAGUACCGUGAGGGAAAGGCGAAAAGAACCCCGGCGAGGGGAGUGAAAAAGAACCUGAAACCGUGUACGUACAAGCAGUGGGAGCACCUUCGGGUGUGACUGCGUACCUUUUGUAUAAUGGGUCAGCGACUUAUAUUCUGUAGCAAGGUUAACCGUAUAGGGGAGCCGCAGGGAAACCGAGUCUUAACUGGGCGUUAAGUUGCAGGGUAUAGACCCGAAACCCGGUGAUCUAGCCAUGGGCAGGUUGAAGGUUGGGUAACACUAACUGGAGGACCGAACCGACUAAUGUUGAAAAAUUAGCGGAUGACUUGUGGCUGGGGGUGAAAGGCCAAUCAAACCGGGAGAUAGCUGGUUCUCCCCGAAAGCUAUUUAGGUAGCGCCUCGUGAACUCAUCUUCGGGGGUAGAGCACUGUUUCGGCUAGGGGGUCAUCCCGACUUACCAACCCGAUGCAAACUACGAAUACCGAAGAAUGUUAUCACGGGAGACACACGGCGGGUGCUAACGUCCGUCGUGAAGAGGGAAACAACCCAGACCGCCAGCUAAGGUCCCAAAGUCAUGGUUAAGUGGGAAACGAUGUGGGAAGGCACAGACAGCCAGGAUGUUGGCUUAGAAGCAGCCAUCAUUUAAAGAAAGCGUAAUAGCUCACUGGUCGAGUCGGCCUGCGCGGAAGAUGUAACGGGGCUAAACCAUGCACCGAAGCUGCGGCAGCGACACUAUGUGUUGUUGGGUAGGGGAGCGUUCUGUAAGCCUGCGAAGGUGUGCUGUGAGGCAUGCUGGAGGUAUCAGAAGUGCGAAUGCUGACAUAAGUAACGAUAAAGCGGGUGAAAAGCCCGCUCGCCGGAAGACCAAGGGUUCCUGUCCAACGUUAAUCGGGGCAGGGUGAGUCGACCCCUAAGGCGAGGCCGAAAGGCGUAGUCGAUGGGAAACAGGUUAAUAUUCCUGUACUUGGUGUUACUGCGAAGGGGGGACGGAGAAGGCUAUGUUAGCCGGGCGACGGUUGUCCCGGUUUAAGCAUGUAGGCUGGUUAUCCAGGCAAAUCCGGAUAAUCAAGGCUGAGGUGUGAUGACGAGGCACUACGGUGCUGAAGUAACAAAUGCCCUGCUUCCAGGAAAAGCCUCUAAGCAUCAGGUAACAUCAAAUCGUACCCCAAACCGACACAGGUGGUCAGGUAGAGAAUACCAAGGCGCUUGAGAGAACUCGGGUGAAGGAACUAGGCAAAAUGGUGCCGUAACUUCGGGAGAAGGCACGCUGGUGUGUAGGUGAAGUCCCUGCGGAUGGAGCUGAGACCAGUCGAAGAUACCAGCUGGCUGCAACUGUUUAUUAAAAACACAGCACUGUGCAAACACGAAAGUGGACGUAUACGGUGUGACGCCUGCCCGGUGCCGGAAGGUUAAUUGAUGGGGUUAUCCGUAAGGAGAAGCUCUUGAUCGAAGCCCCGGUAAACGGCGGCCGUAACUAUAACGGUCCUAAGGUAGCGAAAUUCCUUGUCGGGUAAGUUCCGACCUGCACGAAUGGCGUAAUGAUGGCCAGGCUGUCUCCACCCGAGACUCAGUGAAAUUGAACUCGCUGUGAAGAUGCAGUGUACCCGCGGCAAGACGGAAAGACCCCGUGAACCUUUACUAUAGCUUGACACUGAACAUUGAGCCUUGAUGUGUAGGAUAGGUGGGAGGCUUUGAAGCGUGGACGCCAGUCUGCGUGGAGCCAACCUUGAAAUACCACCCUUUAAUGUUUGAUGUUCUAACGUUGGCCCCUUACCGGGGUUGCGGACAGUGUCUGGUGGGUAGUUUGACUGGGGCGGUCUCCUCCCAAAGCGUAACGGAGGAGCACGAAGGUUAGCUAAUCCUGGUCGGACAUCAGGAGGUUAGUGCAAUGGCAUAAGCUAGCUUGACUGCGAGCGUGACGGCGCGAGCAGGUGCGAAAGCAGGUCAUAGUGAUCCGGUGGUUCUGAAUGGAAGGGCCAUCGCUCAACGGAUAAAAGGUACUCCGGGGAUAACAGGCUGAUACCGCCCAAGAGUUCAUAUCGACGGCGGUGUUUGGCACCUCGAUGUCGGCUCAUCACAUCCUGGGGCUGAAGUAGGUCCCAAGGGUAUGGCUGUUCGCCAUUUAAAGUGGUACGCGAGCUGGGUUUAGAACGUCGUGAGACAGUUCGGUCCCUAUCUGCCGUGGGCGCUGGAGAAUUGAGGGGGGCUGCUCCUAGUACGAGAGGACCGGAGUGGACGCAUCACUGGUGUUCGGGUUGUCAUGCCAAUGGCACUGCCCGGUAGCUAAAUGCGGAAGAGAUAAGUGCUGAAAGCAUCUAAGCACGAAACUUGCCCCGAGAUGAGUUCUCCCUGAGACUUUAAGUCUCCUGAAGGAACGUUGAAGACGACGACGUUGAUAGGCCGGGUGUGUAAGCGCAGCGAUGCGUUGAGCUAACCGGUACUAAUGAACCGUGAGGCUUAACCUUACAACGCCGAAG